CCGGGCACCCUCCCGCCUCCGUCGCUCCUCUAGGUCGCACCACACAAAAGAAGGAGGGAAAAGAUAGAAUAGUAAAGAAGAAGAAGAAGAAAGACAUCCGAGUCGAGUCAGAUGAAGAGAUGUAGUAACUCUGGUCUUACUCUUUGCCAGGGUUUUUCUGGGAGCAUGUUCCUUCAUCCCGUCCACGAUCAACGUAAGAAGGGAUUAGGGAUAUGUGGGUUCCAUCACGCGUGCGCCUACACAAUUUGAUUUGACCUCUUAUUUCUCUUAUCCGAGGUAGUAUGUAACUAGGGAUUUGUCCUGUCGGUACCCCUCUAUCAGUCUUUCCCGGGUAUUAAUGUGAGGGUGUUUGGGGGGUGCGAUCAGCAGGGUUCCUCCCGCCCUUGAUCCCCGUCUCCCCGCCCCGUAUCCCCCCCCCCCUUUCAAUGCGGGACUCUCCAGUUCCUACGCUAUCUCGCAGGCGUUCAGUCAAUGAGGUCGUGUUGUAAUUGUCUGGUGUCUCUUCCCAAGGUGUUUAUCCGUCCGCCACCCUUUCCCCCUCUAUGUGGUUAGGUGUGAAGAUAUAUGUAUACAGGAAGUGCUACCCUGACCGUUGCAAUCCUACGCGUCUAUUGUGUGAUGUUGGUGUUCGUGGGAUCACGGGUUGGUAGUGUCAUUAUGAUCAUGCAUAGGAGGGUAUAACCGAUUUGUCUCGGUUCCUAUCGGGAGUAUUUCCCAUGUAGGGGGGGUCGCUAGGUGGG